CCUACGGGAGGCAGCAGUGGGGAAUUUUGGACAAUGGGCGCAAGCCUGAUCCAGCCAUGCCGCGUGAGUGAAGAAGGCCUUCGGGUUGUAAAGCUCUUUAGUCCGGGACGAAAUCGCACGCGUGAAUAUCGCGGGUGGAUGACGGUACCGGAAGAAUAAGCCCCGGCUAACUUCGUGCCAGCAGCCGCGGUAAU
rnacentral:rRNA from 1 species